rnacentral:rRNA from 1 species
GACGAACGCUGGCGGCGUGCUUAACACAUGCAAGUCGAACGAUGAACCGAGAGCUUGCUCUUGGGGAUUAGUGGCGAACGGGUGAGUAACACGUGAGUAACCUGCCCUGGACUCUGGGAUAACCCCGAGAAAUCGGAGCUAAUACCGGAUAGGACCUUUCCUCGCAUGAGGUUUGGUGGAAAGUUUUUCGGUCUGGGAUGGACUCGCGGCCUAUCAGCUUGUUGGUGAGGUAAUGGCUCACCAAGGCGUCGACGGGUAGCCGGCCUGAGAGGGGGACCGGCCACACUGGGACUGAGACACGGCCCAGACUCCUACGGGAGGCAGCAGUGGGGAAUAUUGCACAAUGGGCGCAAGCCUGAUGCAGCAACGCCGCGUGCGGGAUGACGGCCUUCGGGUUGUAAACCGCUUUUAGUAGGGAAGAAGGGCUUCGGCUUGACGGUACCUGCAGAAAAAGGACCGGCUAACUACGUGUCAGCAGCCGCCGCCGUAA